rnacentral:rRNA from 1 species
GAUGAACGCUGGCGGCGUGCCUAAUACAUGCAAGUCGAGCGAACAGACGAGGAGCUUGCUCCUCUGACGUUAGCGGCGGACGGGUGAGUAACACGUGGAUAACCUACCUAUAAGACUGGGAUAACUUCGGGAAACCGGAGCUAAUACCGGAUAAUAUAUUGAACCGCAUGGUUCAAUAGUGAAAGACGGUUUUGCUCUAACUUAUAGAUGGAUCCGCGCCGCAUUAGCUAGUUGGGAAGGUAACGGCUUACCAAGGCAACGAUGCGUAGCCGACCUGAGAGGGUGAUCGGCCACACUGGAACUGAGACACGGUCCAGACUCCUACGGGAGGCAGCAGUAGGGAAUCUUCCGCAAUGGGCGAAAGCCUGACGGAGCAACGCCGCGUGAGUGAUGAAGGUCUUCGGAUCGUAAAACUCUGUUAUUAGGGAAGAACAAAUGUGUAAGUAACUAUGCACGUCUUGACGGUACCUAAUCAGAAAGCCACGGCUAACUACGUG